rnacentral:rRNA from 1 species
ACGUAGGGAGCGAGCGUUAUCCGGAAUCAUUGGGCGUAAAGCGCGCGUAGGCGGCUCGCCAAGCGGGUGUCUCAAACCCGGGGGCUCAACCUCCGGCCGGACCCCGAACUGGCGGGCUCGAGUGCGGUAGAGGAAGGUGGAAUUCCCAGUGUAGCGGUGAAAUGCGCAGAUAUUGGGAAGAACACCGAUGGCGAAGGCAGCCUUCUGGGCCGCCACUGACGCUGAGGCGCGAAAGCUAGGGGAGCGAACAG